UUUGAUUAUAUUUUGGCUAUUUUUUUAUGAAUAUGUAUGAAGUGUAUGACAUUAGGAAAUAACUAAGAAGUUUGAAAGAGCCAGUUUUUUUUAAUACCUGGUCUUUCAGUACCUACUUGUGCUUUUAAGAACUACAUAAGGUAGUGAUACACAUGGAGAUGUGGUUUGAUCAAGGACUAUAAGCUUAAGUAUGAAAGACGAGAGAUGAGUGUGACUCAUUCAAAUAUGUAAGCACAAAGAGAGUGUUCCGAUGGAAUCCGGUCUUAAUGACC
rnacentral:lncRNA from 1 species